AUAGCUAAUAAUCCUUUAUACAUAAUUAUAGGCUUACAACUAAAUAAUAAGCCUAUUCGAGUAAGUCCAUCUUCUCAUUUACUACUAAGGCCCAAUCACCAAGUUUACUGUUUAAACCCAUGUUUAAACCCAUCAGAGAUUUAAUAGGCCCAAACAUUAUUAAGUCUAAUCAUAAUUAACCAUUUUAUAAGAAAUUAAAUAGAGUUAAAAUCUAGAGUCUUCUAAAUGAAAUCAGAUCUCUCUUCCUCUGCUCAGUGCUCACACGCGUUCUCUCUCUCUUUCUCAGUUCUCUCAGCUGCGUCUCUCACUCUCCCUCUCCUUUUCACCCGGCGACGCCGCCGGUCCUCGCCGCCUCCGGCGCGGCGAGGCCGGCUCCUCUCCUUCCUCCCCCUCUUCUUCCUCUUUCUUUCCUAAUUUCUCUCAAAUCUCUAAAAUUCCUAACUUAUAUAUAGGGUUUCUGUCUCUCUUUUCCUCUCUGAGAUUCGUCCCUCCGGUAAUCCCUGCCGCACCGCCGUCGUCUCCGACGCACCACCGGCCUCUGCAUCCCAGAAAUCGAUGCUCUUCGAUGAACAUCGCCGGCGGCAGGCGUCACCGGUCCGACGAGGCAGCCUUGGUUUUACUGUGGCUGUUCGAAUUUCAUUCUCUUGUAUAUACUCAGUUAUUAACUCCUUGUAAAACUGGAAUUUCUUGUAAAAAUUACUCUAGAUGCUAACGAGAUUGUAUUAUUGUUUUGUA